rnacentral:rRNA from 1 species
GAUGAACGCUGGCGGCGUGCCUAAUACAUGCAAGUCGAGCGAACAGACGAGGAGCUUGCUCCUCUGACGUUAGCGGCGGACGGGUGAGUAACACGUGGAUAACCUACCUAUAAGACUGGGAUAACUUCGGGAAACCGGAGCUAAUACCGGAUAAUAUAUUGAACCGCAUGGUUCAAUAGUGAAAGACGGUUUUGCUGUCACUUAUAGAUGGAUCCGCGCCGCAUUAGCUAGUUGGUAAGGUAACGGCUUACCAAGGCAACGAUGCGUAGCCGACCUGAGAGGGUGAUCGGCCACACUGGAACUGAGACACGGUCCAGACUCCUACGGGAGGCAGCAGUAGGGAAUCUUCCGCAAAGGGCGAAAGCUUGACGGAGCAACGCCGCGUGAGUGAUGAAGGUCUUCGGAUCGUAAAACUCUGUUAUUAGGGAAGAACAAAUGUGCAAGUAACUAUGCACGUCUUGACGGUACCUAAUCAGAAAGCCACGGCUAACUACGU